GUUUUUAUAGUGUAAAAAACACAUCAUAUUUUCACUGUGAUAUUAAAGUAUAACCUUUUAAAAACU
rnacentral:tRNA from 1 species